UGUAGGGUUGUAAAGUACUCGUCGAUACGAGUUCAUAGACUAGCGGCACGCUUAAAUCGGACAUCCGGUUAAAAAGUUAUGGACGUUUGAAGUUUACCGGAUACCGUAUUAUUUUAAUGUUUUUGGGUCGUGAACAGUGAAAUGCCACGUGUCAGCUUCUGAGUGGUCCACGUGGCAUGAACAGUGUCACACAGGGUUUUAAUUUUGAAAAACUCUCGGGGAAGAGAGAGAAAGAGAGAGAAGAGAGAGAAAGAGAGAGAGGAGAGAGAAAGAGAGAAAGAGGACCCGCCGGCCGCCGGCCAUUUUCACGUUUUUCCGGCCUAGUUACUGUACACGCGCCGGCCAGCCAGAUUGCCCACCUCAUUUCCGGCAAAACCUCCAAAUUUCACGGCGAACGGCCGCCGGACGCGCCCGGAUCGGACGUCCGAAGUUUGGCGGCGAUUUUUCCCCUCCACCGCCGGCCACCGCGAAUCGGCACUAUUCCGGCCGAUGUACAGUACACGCGCCAUACACCCAGCAUCCUCUCCUCAAGUCCGGCCUACCCACCAAAAAUCACGGCCAUCGGACCACCGACGCGCCGGGAUCGGAGCGUUUUCCGGCGAGGGGUCGAAAAUCUUCAAACGGUGAUUUCUCCGCCGUCCGACCUCCGUUUUGCUCACCGUCGGUCCCGUUGGAUUGCUCUCCUCACGAUCUACAAAUCUGCAAAAUUUCACAGCAAACGGCCACCGUCGGAAAUUACUGUUCCGGCGACGGUUGCCGGUGACGUGGCGGCCGCCGGAAAGUACUGUUCCGGCGAGUACCCUGAAAAUUCCGGCCAGCUCCAGUCCGCAGUGUUCGACCUCCUGAACCCAAAUCCGACUUCCGUUUCCACCAAUUCGCGACGGUUUGGGAGAAUUGCGGAGCCGAAACCCGAAAAGCUUCCCGAUAAAAUUCCGACCCCGUCGGGUACGAUCAUCGGAAAUUAAGACCGGAUCUGUGAUUAGCAUCACUCGAGCUUCGAUUCGGUGCACGUGCAAGUAGCGGAGUCGAUCCUGCGGAGGAUCUUGAUUGAGAUACGUGCACAAGUAAUCGAUUACGAUGAGUCGGCGGGACACACGUAGAACUCGGGAACGCUCGGCUGAGAGUUCCGGGAGUCGAUCAAGCCUUAGAGAUCUGGUCUCUCAGCUAACUAGAGCCUUAGGAGGUUCAAGCUCUAGUAACCGAUCCGUGGAUCAGGCUCGACGUUUAGGAGCCGUGGAGUUCGAUGGAAGCCAAGGCCCAGCUGCAGCCUUGAAGUGGCUAUCCAGCAUGGAGAAAAUCUUGGAAGAGGGGAUGCAGUGCCCCGAUGAGGAUAUGGUGAGGAUUUCUGGGUUCAUGUUAGAGGGAGACGCCCGGAAGUGGUGGCAAAUGGAGAAGACCCGCAGAAGGCAUA